rnacentral:lncRNA from 1 species
CGCGGCUGCGAGGGCGGCCGGGCCAGCGGCGGCUGCGGGGGCAGCGGGGACGCGAGAGCGGCCGGAGCGUCCCCCGGGGAGCCGCCCGAGAGCUUGGGCUGCAACAGAACCACAGCGAGAGCGCCGUUAGUGCGGCAGCGGGGAAAAGGGGAAAAGGGGAAAGGCGGCCGCGAAAUGCGCAUUUCUGGGGGAUUGAGGGGGAAAAGUGCUUGGGAAGAACCCCAAAAAGGCCAAAUUCAGCCCCAAAGUUGGCGGGUUUGGGGGACUUAGGGAAAAAGUGGUUUGGGAAUGCACCAAAAAUGGGAAAUUCAGCCCCAAAGUUCGCAGUUUUGGGGGAUUGAGGGAAAAAAAUGCUUGGGAAGAACCCCAAAAAGGCCAAAUCCAGCCCCAAAGUUGGCGGGUUUGGGGGAUUUGCGGGAAAAUUCAGCCCCCAAAAUUCGCGGGUUUGGUGGAUUGAGGGAAAAAACGCGCUGGGGACCGCCCAAAAAAAGCUAAAUUCAGCCCCAAAGUUCGGGUUUGGGGGAGUUGAGGGAAAAAAAAUGCCCGGUUUUGGGGAUUGAGGGAAAAUGCUUGGGAAGACCCCAAAAGGCCAAAUUCAGCCCCAAAUUCAGCCCCAAAGUUGGCGGGUUUGGGGGAUUUAGGGAAAAAGUGGUUUGGGAAUGCACCAAAAAUGGGAAAUUCAGCCCCAAAGUUCGCAGUUUUGGGGGAUUGAGGGAAAAAACUGCUUGGGAAGAACCCCAAAAAGGCCAAAUUCAGCCCCAAAGUUCGCAGUUUUGGGGAAUUUGCGGGAAAAUUCAGCCCCAAAGUUCGCGGGUUUGGGGGAUUGAGGGAAAAAACUGCUUGGGAAUGAGCCGAAAAUGGCAAAUUCAGCUCCAAAUUUUGAGGUUUUGGGGAAUCUGGGGAAAAAGCGGAUUGGGAAUGUAGCAAAAAUGGGAAAUUCAGCCCCAAAUUUUGAGAUUUUCGGGAAUUGAGGGAAAAAGCAGCUCGGGAAUGAGCCGAAAAAGCCAAAUUCAGCCCCAAAGUUCACGGUUUUGGGGGAUUGAGGGAAAAAAAAUGCUUGGGAAGAACCCCAAAAAGGCCAAAUUCAGCCCCAAAUUUUGAGGUUUUGGAGGAGAUCCCCAAUGCAUCCCCAAAACCCCAAUUCUGCCCCAAAUCGGAUUUU